GACGAACGCUGGCGGCGUGCUUAACACAUGCAAGUCGAGCGGUAAGGCCUUUCGGGGUACACGAGCGGCGAACGGGUGAGUAACACGUGGGUGAUCUGCCCUGCACUUCGGGAUAAGCCUGGGAAACUGGGUCUAAUACCGGAUAUGACCUCCUAUCGCAUGGUGGGUGGUGGAAAGAUUUAUCGGUGCAGGAUGGGCCCGCGGCCUAUCAGCUUGUUGGUGAGGUAAUGGCCUACCAAGGCGACGACGGGUAGCCGACCUGAGAGGGUGACCGGCCACACUGGGACUGAGACACGGCCCAGACUCCUACGGGAGGCAGCAGUGGGGAAUAUUGCACAAUGGGCGAAAGCCUGAUGCAGCGACGCCGCGUGAGGGAUGACGGCCUUCGGGUUGUAAACCUCUUUCAGCAGGGACGAAGCGCAAGUGACGGUACCUGCAGAAGAAGCACCGGCUAACUACGUG
rnacentral:rRNA from 1 species